GGUGCUGCGGUGCCAGCUGGGGCGGUAAUGCAUGGGGCCCAGGUGUUUGGCGGAUGCACUGGGCGUAAAAGGUGCGUAGGUGGUGAGGUAAGUCGGAUGUGAAAUCUCGUAGCUCAACUCCGAAAUGGCAUUGGAAACUACCUUGCUCGAGGGUUGGAGGGGGGACUGGAAUACUUGGUGUAGCAGUGAAAUGCGUAGAUAUCAAGUGGAACACCAGUGGCGAAGGCGAGUCCCUGGACAACUCCUGACACUGAGGCACGAAAGCUAGGGGAGCAAACAGGAUUAGAUACCCCGGUAGUC
rnacentral:rRNA from 1 species